rnacentral:lncRNA from 1 species
GCCGAACACCGACAAUCACCAGCCGCUCACAACUCCUCACCGGGGCAUCAGGGCUUCUCCUCCGCAUAUGCCCGUACCACCUCAGCCUCGCUUCUCGCAUCUUCUCAUCCACCGGGGCCACCCCCACCUUCUCUCGAAUAACUUCAUUCUUAAUCUUAUCUAGCCUGGUGUGUCAAGCCUCCACUUUGACCACCCCGCUCCUAUACGAUGAGUGACGUCCCCGUCAAUCUCUCCGCCCCCC